GUCUCGUCGAUGCCUCCAUCAGCUUCCCGGUGAGUAGACGCACCUCUCAAAGUACUCCAACGUCUCCCUACCGUUUAUUCUGCCCUGCCGGCGUUGACCGCCGUAGCACCCUGCAGAUGGUCGUCGCCGUGAACCUCCGCUGGUCUUCCAGUUCCAAGUCCGCCAAUUACAGGCUCCCCGCGUCCUUCCGCUUCGAACGCACCGGCUUCCUCGUCCUGGCGCGCUCCCAUCCGUCGAGUCCGUCUCCGACCAGAGUACUCCCUGCCAUGGACGUCAUGUCUGAGUUCUACCUGUGCUUCUUUCAAUUGGACACGAUCCUGCUUCCGGUUGGUUCAAAAUAACCGCGGCCUCUUCGUAAACAUGAACCUGUCUUAAACUAGUUGGUUUGCUGGGUGCAUCUGCUGCUGAACCACCCAGAUCUGAAGCGCAGCGCAAUGUGUUGUAUCCUGAAUGUUCACUGUGAGGUGUUGGGUUCAAUUCCAGCCAGGUGCACAUUUUUUGCCAUUCCGAUCUGCCAAUGGGCCUCAGCCUGGAUCCUUCGAUGCUGCCCAUUGCCUGCGCGUCUCUGUAGCCGCAUCAGACGAACUCCGACCCAGUACAAGGCAGCAUUUGCUUCUUCCCGGAUAGGAUCACGAAGUGUUGAUGUGAGAUACGA